GACGAACGCUGGCGGCGUGCCUAACACAUGCAAGUCGAACGAAGUGGCGAACGGGUGAGUAACGCGUAAUCAACCUGCCCUUCAGAGGGGGACAACAGUUGGAAACGACUGCUAAUACCGCAUACUGAAGGAGGGGAUUGCGUCUGAUUGGCUAGUUGGAGGGGUAACGGCCAACCAAGGCGAUGGUCAGUAGCCGGGCCGGGGAGGUGGACGGCCACAAUGGGACUGGGACACGGCCCGGACUCCUACGGGGGGCAGCAGUGGGGGAACUUCCGCAAUGGACGGAAAUCUGGCGGAGCAACGCCGCGGUGGUGAUGGCGGGCUUCGGGUUGUAAAGCUCUGUUAAUCGGGACGCGGUACCGGAAUAGAAAGCCACGGCUAACUACGUGCCAGCAGCCGCGGUAAUAC
rnacentral:rRNA from 1 species